rnacentral:rRNA from 1 species
GAUGAACGCUGACAGAAUGCUUAACACAUGCAAGUCUACUUGAUUCUACUUCGGUAGUUGAUGGUGGCGGACGGGUGAGUAGCGCGUAAAGAAUCUGCCCUUUAGUUUGGGAUAACCUUUGGAAACGAAGGCUAAUACCGAAUAUUAUGGAGAUGCCGCAUGACGACUUCAUGAAAGCUAUAUGCGCUAGAGGAGGACUUUGCGUCCCAUUAGUUAGUUGGUGAGGUAAUGGCUCACCAAGACCGCGAUGGGUAGCCGGCCUGAGAGGGUGAUCGGCCACAAGGGAACUGAGACACGGUCCUUACUCCUACGGGAGGCAGCAGUGGGGAAUAUUGGACAAUGGACCACAAGUCUGAUCCAGCAAUUCUGUGUGCACGAUGAAGGUCUUCGGAUUGUAAAGUGCUUUCGGUAGGGAAGAAAAAAAUGACGGUACCUACAGAAGAAGCGACGGCUAAAUAUGUGCCAGCAGCCGCCGUAA